UCACAUCCCUACUCGACUCCUUUGCUUGUGCACUGCUUCGACGGGGACACGCUGCGGCCUGGGACCUUCUGGAGCUCGUCGAAUCAUUUCCGAAUUCAGUCCAACAUACGGACUAUCUAACCGGGCUACUGCGCAGAGACGCCGCUCUCCUCUCCAGUCCCGUAUCGCAGCGAUCCGAAACGCAGUGGCGAGAGAGGCUCAGAGUUACGCGGACGGACCGGGAAUUUCUCACGCUCCUAUACGGGCUCGCGAUCGGCGGCAAUCGGGAAUGGUUGCUUCGUCUUGCGGCGGAGGACGCCCAGGUCGCUAGCCCAUAUCAUCGUGCCCGGGCACUGACGAUCCUUGCUGUCGCGGACGACGACGGCUUCGCCUUUGACCAAACUGCGGGCGUGUACAAGGGAGGUGGCACGUGGUACGAAGACCUAACGAAUUGGUUGCAGUCAUACCGGGCCCGCGGCCAAGCAAUGGGCCACUGGCUCGAUAGGUUGCUCUCGCCAUGCACGCCGGCUGAUCGUUGCGCAGCUGCCCACCUUUUCCAGCAUUGCGCAGACAUACGAGGUAGGCAUCUGAUCGAGAGUCGCCGACAGGCUUGUCAGAACGUUCAGGACUUCGACAUUGGAAUUCGAUGGCUCGAUACCGAUAAGCUCAGGAAAGCGUCGAACAGCGUAGAGAAGCAACUGGAUGAGCGCCUUAUGGGUCAGAAGACUUUGAGGCAUGACGCCGUGCCGUGGCUAGACGAUUGAGGGCUUGGCCAGUGCAAGCAACACUGGAAACAAAGCGCUCGGAACUUCGGCAACCGUCCCGGUCCUCGCUGUGUUCGCGACCGGUUGUGCCCGUACAGUAACCCGAACGCCCGCUUACCAUUGAGCAACUCAGCUCACGGUUCCCAGCGCCGACUCGCAACCGUGAGGGCGUUUGGUUGCGAGCUGGGCCGCCU
rnacentral:misc_RNA from 1 species